rnacentral:rRNA from 1 species
GUCUACAGCCAUAUCACCCUGAAUGUGCUCUACCUUGCCUGAUCUUAGAAGCUAAGCAGGGUCAGCCCUGGUUAAUACUUGGAUGGGAGACCUGGUUAGUAUUUGGGAGGGAAGUUA